rnacentral:rRNA from 1 species
UGCCAGCAGCCGCGGUAAUACGGAGGGUGCAAGCGUUACUCGGAAUCACUGGGCGUAAAGAGCGUGUAGGCGGGUUAAUAAGUCAGAUGUGAAAGCCUAUGGCUCAACCAUAGAACUGCAUUUGAAACUGUUAACCUAGAAUAUGGGAGAGGUAGAUGGAAUUUCUGGUGUAGGGGUAAAAUCCGUAGAGAUCAGAAGGAAUACCGAUUGCGAAGGCGAUCUACUGGAACAUUAUUGACGCUGAGACGCGAAAGCGUGGGGAGCAAACAGGAUUAGAAACCCCCGUAGUCC